rnacentral:rRNA from 1 species
UACGUAGGCAGCAAGCGUUGUUCGGAGUUACUGGGCGUAAAGGGUGCGUAGGCGGUCCUAUAAGUAUGGUGUGAAAUCUCCCGGCUUAACUGGGAGGGUGCGCUAUAGACUGUGGGACUAGAGUGUGGGAGAGGAAAGUGGAAUUCCUGGUGUAGCGGUGAAAUGCGUAGAUAUCAGGAGGAACACCGGUGGUGUAAACGGCUUUCUGGACCAUAACUGACGCUGAGGCACGAAAGCGCGGGUAGCAAACAGG